GAUGAAGAACGCAGCGAAAUGCGAUAAGUAAUGUGAAUUGCAGAAUUCAGUGAAUCAUCGAAUCUUUGAACGCACCUUGCGCCCUUUGGCUAUUCCGAAGGGCAUGCCUGUUUGAGUAUCAUGAACACCUCAACUCUCAUGGGUUUGCCAUGAUGAGCUUGGACUUUGGGGGUCUUGCUGGCCUAUGGUCAGCUCCUCUCAAAUGGAUCAGCUUGCCAGUGUUUGGUGGCACCACAGGUGUGAUAACUAUCUACGCUUGUGGCUUUCCACCAGGUAACCUUCAGCAGUGGAGGUUCGCUGGAGCUCACAGAUGUGUCUCUCCUCAGUGAGGACAGCUCUUUGAAUGUUUGAUCUCAAAUCAGGUAGGACUACCCGCUGAACUUAAGCAUAUCAAUAAGCGGAGGA
rnacentral:misc_RNA from 1 species